rnacentral:lncRNA from 1 species
GAGAUGGGUCCAUUAGUUGAUUGUAGUAACUCUAUAAUGUAUAUACAAACUGGUAUGUAAUUCUACUGCAUCUACAUGCCCAUAAAAGUUUCUAAACUGAAUAUAUAUGCAGUCCUUACAAGAUAGCUUCAGCUAUAAACUAACUUGCUACUUUAUCGUGCCAUACUCAUCCCUCGUAUAUUUGAGCCCUUCAUAAAAAUCAUGAUUCCAAACCUAUCAGAAAAAAAUAUUGUAAGUUAU